rnacentral:tRNA from 1 species
GAUGUAGCUCAGUUGGUUAGAGCGCCGGCCUGUCACGCCGGAGGUCGCGGGUUCGAGCCCCGUCAUU